CGGUCACGUUCGUUGCUUUCAGGACCCAAUUGUGUACGCAAAAGCAACUGAGACACAGCCAUACGCCUCACGAGGAAGCGUAGGGGUCAAAGCGCCAAGCAAUACACGUGUUAAUGAGCCCUUAGUGAAACGCAAUUAAGCAGACAGAUCACUCCACGAACUAAGAACGGCCAUGCACCACCUAUCACAUAAUCAUGAAAGGACUAGCAUAUUUAACAUAAAAAUGCGAACAUUUUUAAAAUUGCCUGUCAAUCCUCAGUGUGUCCGGACCCGGUAAGAUUUCCCGCGUUGAGUCAAAUUAAGCCACAUGCUCCAC
rnacentral:rRNA from 1 species